rfam:Daphnia magna strain Xinb3 scaffold01581, whole genome shotgun sequence.
CAAACGGCUCUUUUCAGAGCCACAAAUUAUUCCAACGAAAAGUUGU